rnacentral:rRNA from 1 species
AACGUAGGUGGCGAGCGUUAUCCGGAUUUACUGGGCGUAAAGCGUGUGCAAGCGGGCUACCAAGUGGUGCGUGAAAUCGCUCGGCUUAACCGGGCGCGGUUGUGCCAGACUGGUAGUCUGGAGUGCGGGAGAGGGGCGUGGAAUUCCGGGUGUAGUGGUGAAAUGCGUAGAGAUCCGGAGGAACCCCAGAGGCGAAGGCGGCG